GUUCCCAGUGAUGUUGAAUUAUAUAUAUAUACCAUGCUAAUUCUGAUCAUGUUUUGUGACAGAAACCUCUUUCUCUUAUAUUUGCUGAGGGAACA
rnacentral:snoRNA from 9 species